rnacentral:misc_RNA from 1 species
GCUCAGCUGGGAGAGCACCUGCUUUGCAAGCAGGGGGUCGUCGGUUCGAUCCCGUCUGCCUCCACCAAUCUUCAAUGACAAACGUUCAGGGAUACUGAGCAGUUGUCAUUGGCGAUUGAGCCAGUCAGAGGAUGAGCGAGAAGUAGCGCUUAGCGGCUGUCGUUCUUGAACAAUCUGGAGGAAUUAGUAAAGUGGAUAACAGAGACUACUUCUGGUGUUAUGGUGUAU